AUUCCGGAGAGGGAGCCUGAGAAACGGCUACCACAUCUAAGGAAGGCAGCAGGCGCGCAAAUUACCCAAUCCCGGCUCGGGGAGGUAGUGACAAAAAAUAACAAUGCGGGACUCUUAUGAGGCUUCGUAAUUGGAAUGAGUACAUUCUAAAUCCUUUAACGAGGAACUAUUGGAGGGCAAGUCUGGUGCCAGCAGCCGCGGUAAUUCCAGCUCCAAUAGCGUAUAUUAAAGUUGUUGCGUCUAAAAAGCUCGUAGUUUGAAAACUUGCCUUGGCUUACAACAGACGUCUAAGGGCGUCACCGUUUGUCGAGAGCAAAUAUGGGUGACUGUUCUUGCCUUCUUCACUGAUUGGCUCGUAAAAGUCAUCGAAGAUCACUUUGAUUAAAUUAGGGUGCUCAAAGCAAGUGUGCUACUUGAAUAUGAAUGCAUGGAAUGAUGGAAUAUGUUGUUGUUCUAUUUGUUGGUUUUUUGAAUGACGAAAUGAUUGAAAGGAACUGUUGGGGGCAUUCGUAUUGUUGUGAGAGAGGUGAAAUUCUUAGACCAUAGCAAGACGAACUACUGCGAAAGCAUUUGCCAAGAAUGUUUUCAUUGAUCAAGAACGAAAGUUAGAGGUUCGAAGGCGAUCAGAUACCGCCUUAGUUCUAACCAUAAACUAUGCCGACUAGCAAUUUGCUUUGUAUUUUUAUGACUAAGUGAGAGGCCACGGGAAACCAAAGUAGGGUUAUGGGGGAAGUAUGGUUGCAAAGCUGAAACUUAAAGGAAUUGACGGAAGGGCACCACCAGGAGUGGAGCCUGCGGCUUAAUUUGACCCAACACGGGAAAACUUACCUGGUCCUGACACUAGAAGGAUUGACAGAUUGAUAGCUCUUUCUUGAUUUGGUGGAUGGUGGUGCAUGGCCGUUCUUAGUUGGUGGAGUGAUUUGUCUGGUUAAUUCCGAUAACGAACGAGACUCUAGCCUAUUAAAUAAUAUGCGGAAUCAAUUUCUCCCGCGUUAUUUCUUAAUGGGAUCAAGCGUGUUUAACGCUUUGAAACAGAGCAAUAACAGGUCUGUGAUGCCCUUAGAUGUUCGGGGCUGCACGCGCGCUACAUUGAAGAACAAAGUGAGCCCUCUGGCUUUUAACAAAGCUAGAAAUCUUUUAAUGUUCUUCUUAAUGGGGAUAGGGGAUUGCAAUUGUGCCCCUUGAACGAGGAAUUCCCAGUAAGUGCUAGUCAUUAGCUAGUACUGAUUACGUCCCUGCCCUUUGUACACACCGCCCGUCGCUACUACCGAUUGAAUAGUUUAGUGAGAUCAUCUGAGUGUUUGUAUGUGCAUUCUGUGCUUGUAUGGUGUACGAAGAAGAUCAAACUUGAUUAUUUAGAGGAAGUAAAAGUCGUAACAAGGUUUCCGUAGGUGAACCUGCGGAAG
rnacentral:rRNA from 1 species